UGGGGAGGGGAGGGAGCGGGAGACAGGGCACACCCUAUACAACCGCAACCCUACGGGCAUGGGAGAGAGUAGCACAGAGAUGCAGACUAGCGCCAUUCCCAUCCCCCCUUCUCCCUCUCACGCAUAACGACAGCUUCCCACCGGGGCUAGACCCCAACGCAUUCAGGGACUUAAUCCGACAUAAACUACCCAGACUACACCACCUCCUGGCAGGCACGGAAUGCAAAACACUCCCGACCCUAUUAGAGGGAGCAACCCCCACCCUCCUACACCACCUAAAACACAGACAGCUACAGAGCUAUGUACACACCCUCCCGGGGGGCACGGCACGGAAACGUGAUCCUACCACAUUUGAAAGAAUGUGCAUGGACCCAGACCCGCAACCACACGGGAUCUCACUCAUUUACUCCAUGCUACAGAGGGAAACACCAACGGAGAAACCCAAAUUCAUGGGGAGAUGGGAACAAACAUUGGGGAAAACUUUCACAGACGGGGACUGGGAAAAGAUAUGCUACUUAACGCAUCACUGC